rnacentral:rRNA from 1 species
UACGUAGGGUCCGAGCGUUGUCCGGAAUUAUUGGGCGUAAAGGGUGCGUAGGCGGUCUGUUGCGUCGGUAGUGAAAACUUACAGCUUAACUGUGAGCGUGCUUUCGAUACGGGCAGACUUGAGGCAUUCAGGGGAGAACGGAAUUCCUGGUGUAGCGGUGAAAUGCGCAGAUAUCAGGAAGAACACCCGUGGCGAAGGCGGCUCUCUGGGACGGUACUGACGCUGAGACGCGAAAGCGUGGGGAGCGAACAGG